CCAAACUGAGCCAGGGGCAAAGGGCGUAUCAGACAUCCAGCAGAGUGAGCCAUGCCCAGGGAGGAUGAGGGCACUGGAACUGCCCACACACUCCAGGGCAAGUGACAGCACAGGCUUGAACAGUAAAUGGGGUUCUUCUGGGGGUCCUGUGGGCUGUCUCACCUUUCCAGGUGCUAAUGUGACUCCCUCAGGGCAAGUGCUCCCAGGGUGCAGUAGGUGCAGUAGGAGCCCUGAGAAGCUGCAGAGCCAGAGGAAACACGAUGUAGGCAUGCCCAGAGCUGGUUUUGGUCCAGAGGCACUAGGGUCCUAUCUCACGGGCUGGGCCCAGCCCCAUGUCAGAUCAGUGUCCGUCACUUCCAAGGACGACUGAGCCCCAUGCCAGAGUCACCCCAGGAAGCAUCUGUGUGGUCUGAGCUCAUGGGUCUGCUGGACGAACCCAGAAUAGAUUUUAGGGCACAGACUACAGCUGACCGAGUGUGAGCCAUGGUGGCCUGAAGAUGUAUUUUGUUUCACUUUGUGUGGCAUUAUUAAAAGUUUUGAAUUGGGUAUGAAUACUUAAAAUUAAAACAACACAAAAAUAAUUUUUGAAUUAACAUCUGGCCCAUCUGGCUACCCUGGUAUUGGCUGUUCCCUUCAGGUACCCUGGGUACUUGGGUUCACUUCCUCCACCUGGCCCUGCAGGUGGUCUGAGUGGGGACUGGAGAGAGCAAAAACAAGACCAUAUUGAGGUAUAGUUUACAUAAAGUAAACUGCAUAUAUUCAGAGUGCAUACAGUCAUCCAUCACUUAAGGACAUGGAUACAUGUGGUGAUUUUGUCAUUACAUGAGUGUCAUAGAGUGCACUUACAUGGUAUAUAGCCUGUAGCUCUGUAGGGAAAGAAUUAGUUGAAACAUCCCCAUGAUGAAAGACAUUAACAGGAUAACAAACCACCAUUGAAUAACAUGUAUACCUCCUGUACACAAAGGAGAGACCAAGGAAAAUGGAAUAAGUCACCAAAAUGGCCGAGGCCACCACCUUAAAUACCAUCUCUAGUUGAAGACAAAAAAGAUGCGGUGGGGGUGAGGGUGGGGAGCCAGUUAAGGGAGGUGACCAGGAAAAGCACAGUAAAAGUGGGUAAGGCUGUUACUUAGACUUAAGUUACUUCUUUCUGCAUUGAUAAAGAGUUUCUAGAGAGGUAAGGUCAUCCCCCUGUUGGUACAGAGAGGGAAGACACCCUUACAAAUGGAGAUUUCCCUUAUAAAUGUAGUUACAAAUGGUCACUUCUACCUGGUUUUCAGAGCUUUCCCCCAAAUCUCUUAAAAUUAGCCAACCUAAAAUAAUCCUUAUGCCAAAGAAAUGUAUUUUGGGAUGAUAAAUUCUGUUCCCCUAUAGCUCCUAGGCUACAAAGCUGGCAUUACUAUACUGACUAUGGUAGGCAGUAGUAAUACAGCUUUAAGAAUUUGUGUAAUAGGUUUGUUAGCACUACUAUGACAUCACUGGACAGUAGGCAUUUUGCAGCUCCAUAAUCUUGUGGGACCACCACCCUAUAUGCCACAGACAUAAAACCGGGUCCUAUGGAAAAGUCACCUCAGUGAUCUGAUCAUAAAUUCCUAACUGGGCAGGUCAUGCCCCAGGCCUAGAAAGUUUUUUAUUUUAGGCCUGUAACUUUAGUAAAAGGUUUACCUUUGCUUUAAGCCAGCCCUAUCCAUUGUUUCUGUGUAACUAGGUUAACUUGCUUUUGAAAUAAACCACUCAAGAAAGCAUAUAACCUUGUUAACUAUCCUGUAAUCCAGUCCCCACCCUGCUUUCUCCCACCUUCAUGAAAUCUUCCUUAGUUCCCUCAAUUCCAAAUUCAUAAAAGAUGCAAAAUGCUAUUCUUAGAACCACUUUUCUCUGUUGAGAUCUUGCUUCCGGGGUGUAUUCUGUUUGGCUCACAUAAUUUUUUCCUUUGUUAUUUUAAAUUUUCAUUUAUCAGUUAUAGUUGACAUUAAGUAUAUUAGUUUCAGGUGUACAGCAUAGUGGUUAGACAUACAUAAUUUUGGCUCAAAUAAUUUUUUAUAAAAAUUCAAAAUUCUCUACAGGUUCUUAUGUCAACAAUGUGGUCUAUUGACCAAAACAUUACAUGGUACAUGACUGUAGUUCAGAAUGAUUCGACAAGUGUGCAAAACUGUAGAACCUCCAACACAACAAGGACACAGACAUUUCCAUCACUCCCCAGAGUUCCUUGUGCUCUCCUUCACUGCUGGCCCAGGCAGCCACUGACCUGCUUUCUGACUACAGUUUUGCCUUUUCCAGAAUGUCAUAUGAAUGGAAUCACAGAAUAUGUGCUACUCUGUGCCUCACUUCUGCUCAGCGUGUAUAUGAAAUUUAUCCACAUUGUAUAUAUGUCAGUAGUUUGCUCAUUUGAUGGUUGCAUAAUAUUCCACUGUAUGGACAAACCACAACUUGUCCAGUCUCCUGUUGAUGAACCCUUGGGUUAUUUUGACUUUUGGCUAUUAAGAAUAAAACUAAUUUAUAACAAGUC